AGCCCUUCGGGGUGAGUGUACCUUUCGAAUAAGCACCGGCUAACUACGUGCCAGCAGCCGCGGUAAUACGUAGGGUGCAAGCGUUAUCCGGAAUUAUUGGGCGUAAAGGGCUCGUAGGCGGUUCGUCGCGUCCGGUGUGAAAGUCCAUCGCUUAACGGUGGAUCCGCGCCGGGUACGG
rnacentral:rRNA from 1 species